GACGAACGCUGGCGGCGUGCCUAAUACAUGCAAGUCGAGCGCAGGAAACUGACGGAACUCUUCGGAGGGAGGGCAGUGGAAUGAGCGGCGGACGGGUGAGCAACACGUAAGGAACCUGCCUCAAGGAUUGGGAUAACUCCGAGAAAUCGGAGCUAAUACCGGAUAGUUCAACGGACCGCACGGUCCGCUGAUGAAAGGCGCUCCGGCGUCACCUUGAGAUGGCCUUGCGGUGCAUUAGCUAGUUGGUGGGGUAACGGCCCACCAAGGCGACGAGGCGUAGCCGACCGGGGGGGGUGAUCGGCCACACUGGGACUGAGACACGGCCCAGACGCCUACGGGAGGCAGCAGUAGGGAAUCUUCCACAAUGGACGAAAGUCUGAUGGAGCAACGCCGCGUGAGUGAUGAAGGUUUUCGGAUCGUAAAACUCUGUUGUAAGGGAAGAACACGUACGAGAGGAAAUGCUCGUACCUUGACGGUACCUUACGAGAAAGCCACGGCUAACUACGUGCAGCCGCCGCAGUAACAC
rnacentral:rRNA from 1 species